rnacentral:lncRNA from 1 species
CCCUGCAGCAGCAGCGGGGUUUCAUCUCCAUUGAGCUCAUCAGUGCAGCCACCAGCCAGGACUGAGCACCCUGCGCUGCAUCCCUGCACCCAGCAGCAGGUCCCUGCACCAGGACGAUGCGGAGCCGCGCUCUGCUCGCCGUUCUCGCCCUGGCGCUGCCGUUCGCCCUCUCCGCCCCGCCGGGCUCCGCGCCCCGCUCCCAGAGCCCGGAGCCGCUGCCCUGGAGAACCCGGGGCAGCCCGGGGGGGGUCGCCGUGGCGACUCUUCUGCAGCUGCUACGGGAAGAGGAGAACGGGGACAUGCACGAUUUCUUCGUGGGGCUCAUGGGGAAACGGGCGGCGGUGGAACCCGAAAAGGCGGCGGGGGGCGGCGGGGCCGCAGCCGGGACGGGACACGCUGAGAGCGGCCCCUCCGUCCGCUGCUCCCCGGGACCCCCCCCGGACGGAGCUCGGGCUGCCGGGCCCCCCCGCCCCGCGUUGUGAGGAGCGGCCUCGACGGGGCGGACGGGACGUAACGGAGCCGUCGCGGUGUCACCCCCGGGAACGAGCGUGUCCGAACCGAGCUGUACGGGCACCGCAAACAGCACCGACAGCCCCGAACCGAACCGAGCCCGAGUCCGUUGUGUCUGCGCUGGGGGAUGGAGGGCGGAGGGGGGGGGGGGGAGGUGCUGCUUAUCGCGACCCUCCCCAUAUCGCGACCCUGCCCACCCCUCGUUCCCCCCCGCAGUUCCCCUCCGGGCCGCUGCGGCGCUGUGGCCCCGUCGGAGCGGGGGGGCGGCGGAAGGCGGCUCCGGUGGCGGCGGUGGCGGGCGGGCGGAGCGGCGGGCGGAGGGCGGAGGGCGGGGCGGUGCCUUUGUGUGAGCGAGCGGGGAUGGUGCGGGGCGCCGGGCGGGUAAGGAGCGGCCGCUGCGGGACGGGACCGACGGCCGCGACCCCCCACGGGGCCCCCCCGGCCCCGACCCCGCGGGGAUCGAUGCGGCGCGGCCGUUCGCACGUCCCGGGGCCGUCGGGGCGCGUUGGGAGCGAGCCCCCCCCCCCUACGGUUUGUUGCGGGGGCGGCGACCCUUUGGUGACCGCGAGAUGCGGACCCCGCCGCCAGAGCCGCGGGAGGAGGGGGGGGCGCAGAGCCAGGGUAGGGGGUGGGGGGUCGGGGCCGCCCCCACGAGCAUCCUUCGGCCCCCCCCCCCCUCCUUAAAACCGGCGGCCCCGGGCACGUUUCGUCGGAAGGAGAGUCCACGGAGCGGCCUCGGCGCAACUUUCAUUGCGGGACUGAGUUUGGGAGGGGGUCGCGUGGCUUCCAUUGAGCCCCCCAAGGAGGGGGGGCUGCGGGUGGGCUGGGGGGCCGAUAAAGAGCCGAGGGCUGGGGGGUGGGAAGUGGGGCUGGAAGCAGUGGGGCUGGGGGCUGCAGGGCAGUGGGGCUGGGGGCGGUGGAGCUGCAGGCUGUGCCUCAGCACUGUGCUGUGCAGCCCCACGUUGUGCUGGGAGUCGUGGCUGAAUCCUGCCCAGGCAGAUGUAAUGGGGGCUGCAGGGGGGGUGGGCACAGAUGGGUCCUGAUCCAGACUGAGGCACUCCUGGGGUGGCUGCAGAACCGACCUCAGCCCCAAGAUGAGCAGUGGGGGCAUCUGCAGGGCAGCACUGUUCCUCCUUGCUCUGCCCCAGCUCCAUCUGAGAGCCUGUGGCUGCAGUGAUGUCUCCUCAUCGAGGUUUUAACUUAUCUCCACGUUUCCCCCCCCAGAGCCCCUUGCCCUGCCACUCGCUGGAUGCCGGGCAGCACCUGCUGCCCCCGCAGCUGAUGAGGGCGUGAAGGAGCAGCUGAGCAGGAG